CCUGCGAGUGACAGACAGUGGGGAAUUUUGGACAAUGGUCGCAAGCAUGAUCCAGUCAUGCCUUGUGUGGGAAGAAGACCUUAGGGUUGUAAACCGCUUUUGUCAGGUAAGAAUCGGUGUGGGUUAAUACCCUGAAUUAAUGAGUGGUAUAGCAAGAAUAUGCAUCGUGUAUUGUUCGUCCCAGCAGCAGGGGUAAGAUGUAGGGUGCGAGCAUUUAUCGGAAUUAUUGGGUGUAAAGCGUGCGCAGGUGAUUUUGAUUUACAUGAUGUGAAAUGCAAGUGGCUCAACCUGGAAACAGCAUUAGUAACUUCAGUUUUGGAGUCCGAUAGAGGGGUAAGAUAUCCGGUUUCUCACAGUAAAAUGCGAAGAUAUGAGGAGGAACAUAGAUGGAGAAGGUAAUCCCAUGGCUAUGCACUGACGUUUAUGCGCGAAUGCUUGGAGAGAAAACACGAUUAGAUACUCUGGUAGUCCACGCCUUAUAUUAUGUGAAAAAAGAGUUUGACAACCUGAAGUCCUUUAUCGAACAUAGGGCAUGAAUGGAUCAGCCUGGGGAGCAUUGUCCCAAGUUUAACACUGAAACGAACUGUAGG
rnacentral:rRNA from 1 species